rnacentral:rRNA from 1 species
ACUUUGAUUAUGGCUCGGGACGAACGCUGGCGGCGCGCCUAACACAUGCAAGUCGAGCGGGAAGCUUUUUAAGGAUUCUUCGGAUGAAUUAAAAAGUGGAGAGCGGCGGACGGGUGAGUAACGCGUGAGAAACCUGCCCUAUACAGGGGGAUAGCCAUUGGAAACGAUGAUUAAUACCCCAUAUGACCACAGUAUCGCAUGAUACAGCGGUGAAAACUCCGGUGGUAUAGGAUGGUCUCGCGUCUGAUUAGCUAGUCGGUGGGGUAACGGCCUACCAAGGCGACGAUCAGUAGCCGGCCUGAGAGGGUGACCGGCCACACUGGAACUGAGACACGGUCCAGACUCCUACGGGAGGCAGCAGUGGGGAAUAUUGCACAAUGGGCGAAAGCCUGAUGCAGCGACGCCGCGUGAACGAUGAAGGCUUUCGAGUCGUAAAGUUCUGUUCUUGGGGAAGAUAACGACGGUACCCAAGGAGAAAGCACCGGCUAAAUACGUGCCAGCAGCCGCGGUA